rnacentral:tRNA from 1 species
UGGGGCAUAGCUCUGUGGUAGAGCAUGUGCUUAGCAAAUGCAAGGCCCUGGGUUCAAUCCCCAGAACCUCAA